CGGCGCCGAGGCCUGCCCUUGGGGAGCCUUCCCGGCCCGGGGCCGUGUCUGAGGCUCCGCCGGGGCGGGCCGGGCCGGGUUCCGGGGCGGCCAGCCUGGGGGCAACUGUUCCAACCGCUCUAACUGUCCCCUCCCUUCCCUGGUCCGAUGUGUGGCCCCCCAGGGGCGCCUGCAAGGGAACGAUUCCGGUGGCCUCCGGAAGAUGUGCCCCGUUCCGGGUAGGGUGAGGGCUGGCGGUGACGGAGGCCGGGACGUGGCACCGUGGGCUGGGGCGCUGGCGGCGCAAGGAGUGGCCCAGUCGGAGGUGGCAGCGGCGCGCCCAGCCCGCCUCCUCCUACCCCCUCUUCGAAAUUCCUUCAUUUGCGAGGGUGGCUUGGAGCGGGGUUGCAUUUUGAUCUCUCAGUGCCUCUCUCCCAUGGGGGGCGAGAGCGCGAGCAGCCCACGUUGGGCUCGGAUUGGCAUUCUCCUGACUCCCGCCCGGAACUGCUAAUCAUCCUCCCCCUGGAGUUCGGCAAAGUGUCACCAACGGGCUCGGGUUACUUGUGCUCGACUCUUUUCUUGCUGUAAGCCAUGAGAUGACCCUUUAAGUUUUGCAAAGGAGGCUUUCUUGAUCAUGGAUGGUGAAGAUAUACCAGAUUUUUCAAGUUUAAAGGAGGAAACUGCUUAUUGGAAGGAACUUUCCUUGAAGUAUAAGCAAAGCUUCCAGGAAGCUCGGGAUGAGCUAGUUGAAUUCCAGGAAGGAAGCAGAGAAUUAGAAGCAGAGUUGGAGGCACAAUUAGUACAGGCUGAA
rnacentral:lncRNA from 1 species